rnacentral:rRNA from 1 species
UACAGAGGAGCCAAGCGUUGUCCGGAUUGACUGGGCGUAAAGCGCACGCAGGCGGAUGCGCGCGUGGGGUGUGAAAUCUGGCCGCUUAACGGCCAGGCGCCAUCCCAUACGGCGCGUCUGGAGUGAUGCAGAGGUCGAUGGAAUUGCCGGUGUAGUGGUGAAAUGCGUAGAGAUCGGAAGGAACACCCAGGGGGCAACCAGUCGACUGGGCAUCUACUGACGCUGAGGUGCGAGAGCGUGGGGAGCGAACCGG